rnacentral:lncRNA from 1 species
GGUGUGCCCACCUAUCGAGUUACCAACCCCAUCCUGGUCUCACGGGUGUGCAUUCAGCAAGCACACUGGUUGGCAGUCACUACUGUCUGUAUGCCCUGUCUACCCGAGAGGUUCUAGGAAAGCCAAGUCUAAGUAAGGGAUGAUUCUUGCUUGAGAGCUUGGGAAGGCAGAACUGGUGAUGAGCUCUAAGACAUCUGGACAAAUCACGGGACUCAAAGCCUCAGCUUGUCCAUCUGUAGGAUGGGGGCAAUUCUUAUUCAUCGUGCAAGGUUCUGAAGAAUAAGUAUUGUAGAUGAAGUCCCUAGCAUGCCUUAAGCACUCAGUGAACAACUUCAUUGUUCCUCUCCCAUGGUGAGAAGCUAGCUUUAGGUGAAGACUUCCUAUAGAGCUUCCUAGGUGAAUCCCAGUGACCUCCUCCCUUGGCUUCAGGCCAAGUGUCCCCUUCUAUCACUGUGCCUGGGACCUCUAGGGACACCCACCCGCUCCCCCAUGUUGCCUUCAGACCAUCAGCAACAGAGUCUUGGGAGAACAUGAGACUGCCUAUUUUUCACAUUAUUGCAUUUUUUUUUUUAGUUGUGAGUAUGGGGUGCACAUGCGCACAUGGAGGUCAAAGGUCAGACCUGUGCACAUGUGGCUACAUGGAGGUCAGAGGGCACGUAAGGCGGCUUCUUCUAUUGUUCUCCACCUUUAAAAGAAUUGUCAUAGAGGCAGAGGGAGGAGGGAUGGGAUGGGGAGGUUUGCAGAGGGGAAACCGGGAAGGGGGACAACAUUUGAAAUGUAAAUAAAUAAAAUAACCAAUAAAAAAUUAUCUUCAUAUC